rnacentral:rRNA from 1 species
CCUCUUUCAGUAGGGAAGAAGCUCCUCGGAGUGACGGUACCUGCAGAAGAAGCGCCGGCUAACUACGUGCCAGCAGCCGCGGUAAUACGUAGGGCGCAAGCGUUGUCCGGAAUUAUUGGGCGUAAAGAGCUCGUAGGCGGUUUGUCGCGUCUGCUGUGAAAACGCAAGGCUUAACCUUGCGCCUGCAGUGGGUACGGGCAGACUAGAGUGCGGUAGGGGAGACUGGAAUUCCUGGUGUAGCGGUGGAAUGCGCAGAUAUCAGGAGGAACACCGAUGGCGAAGGCAGGUCUCUGGGCCGUUACUGACGCUGAGGAGCGAAAGCAUGGGGAGCGAACAGGAUUAGAUACCCUGGUAGUCCAUGCCGUAAACGUUGGGCACUAGGUGUGGGAUCCAUUCCACGGGUUCCGUGCCGCAGCUAACGCAUUAAGUGCCCCGCCUGGGGAGUACGGCCGCAAGGCUAAAACUCAAAGGAAUUGACGGGGGCCCGCACAAGCGGCGGAGCAUGCGGAUUAAUUCGAUGCAACGCGAAGAACCUUACCAAGGCUUGACAUACACCGGAAAAGUGCAGAGAUGUGCUCCCCGUAAGGUCGGUGUACAGGUGGUGCAUGGUUGUCGUCAGC